AAAAUUUGUUAUUAAUUUGAUUUAUAUGUAAAUUUUUGUGUGAAUUUUUAUUAAUUUUAAAAGUUAAUAAAAUUAUUUUAAUCGCAGUAAUUAAUUUUAUUAAUUAAAGAAAUUUAGAAAUAGCAAUAUUAAAGAGUAUAGAUUAAAUUGGUGCCAGCAGUCGCGGUUAUACCAAUUAUACAAAUAAAUUUUUUUAGUAAAAGUUAAAUUGAUUAAGUUUAAAUAAAAUUAAAUUUAUUAAGUGAAAUUUUAAAUUUAAAUUUUUUAUUAAUAAAAUAAUUGAAGCUUGAAAAUUUUAAUUAA
rnacentral:rRNA from 1 species